rnacentral:rRNA from 1 species
GGCGAACGGGUGCGUAACACGUGAGCGACCUGCCCUACCUGCGGGGGAUAGCCGGCCUAACGGCCGGGUAAUACCGCAUACGUUUCCCCGGGGGCAUACCCGGGGGAGGAAAGCCGGGGCGACCCGGCGCGGGAGGAGGGGCUCGCGGCCUAUCAGCUAGAUGGUGUGGUAACGGCGCACCAUGGCGACGACGGGUAGCUGGUCUGAGAGGAUGGCCAGCCACAUUGGGACUGAGAGACGGCCCAGACUCCUACGGGAGGCAGCAGUGGGGAAUCUUGCGCAAUGGCCGGAAGGCUGACGCAGCGACGCCGCGUGUAGGAGGACGCCCCUCGGGGUGUAAACUACUGUUGCCCGGGACGAACCGGGGGUUUCGACCCCCCUGACGGUACCGGGUGAGGAAGCACCGGCUAACUACGUGCCAGCCGCCGCGG